UCAAAUCGAUACCAAUUGGAUAAGUCAAUUUUGGUAUGAGUCAUACAAGGUAGAAAUUUAGUUUUAGUCACUUGUCUAGCUCAGUUGAUCUUAACUUGAGUCAUUAAGAGUAGGAUAAAAAGAACAUCAAAUUUGUAAUCUUGAUUUAAAAAAUGUACUGGUUAAAUUGAGAUAUUAAAAAACAAAAGAAAGAAAGAGGGAGCACUUCUUAUCCUUCAUCAAGAUACUGUAAUACAAGUGUCUUUCUUUUGGGCCAGCUUGGAAAAUUUGGCAUGGAUUAUACUCACAGGAGUAUAGAACUAAUUAUUUAUGGCUAGACUCUAGUCUAGGCAUCAUCCCCUACACCCCUCUCUAAACACAUCGUUUAACACCCCUUCCCCCAUCUACCUACUUUCAUAGUUUCUGCAGUACUAUACCCUCACAAAAUGCAGCAUACUAUUACUCCCUAAAAUCCUAAAAAAAUUUCAGUAACUUCCUCUACCCCACCAAUAUAUAUACCCAAAAAAAAAAAAAAACAUCUUGUUCUCUCUUUAUUUUCCCUCUCCAUUAUCUCUCUCAUCUAAGCUUUAAAACUUCAACCAUGGCGGACAUUAGAGACGAAGUCAAACAACCGAAGCAAAUUUCAUCGAAAAAAAGUAGCGAAAAUCAAAAGAGAAACAAAUUGAUAGUUUAAUAACUGAAAAUGUAUAUAUUUUGGAGAAAUCUAUUUCAGAGAACAGAAACAACGAUUCUUCAAAAAUGUAGACCAAAUCAGGAAGCUGAGGAUGCAAUACACAACUCAACUAAUGCUUUUGAAGAAAACACUGAAUGUAGGAUCAACAAAAGAUUAUCAAGAAAAAUUACAAAAGAGCAGUAUUACAUGUUCAUUUAUAAAUUUAUAUAUGUUCAUUUAUACAAAGAUAUAUGUUCUUAUAUGUGUUCAAUAGAACUUAUAGAUUUUACUCGCUUAA